UACAUAGGCUUCAAGCGUUGUCCGGAUUUAUUGGGCGUAAAGAGUUCGUAGGCGGUCGAGUAAGUCGGGUGUGAAAAUUCUGGGCUCAACCCAGAGACGCCACCCGAUACUGCUUAACUUGAGUUCGAUAGGGGAGUGGGGAAGUUCCUAGUGUAGCGGUGAAAUGCGCAGAUAUUAGGAGGAACACCGGUGGCGAAGGCGCCACUCUGGAUCGACACUGACGCUGAGGAACGAAAGCAUGGGUAGCAAACAGGAUUAGAUACCCUGGUAGU
rnacentral:rRNA from 1 species